rnacentral:lncRNA from 1 species
AGCAAUUGUUCCAGUGGGAAACCAGGACUCAGUGCUUGCCAAGGAGCUGGCACUGUGGCCUUGGCCAUGGAGACCUGUCCAGCACCACCUUGACCAAGGAGAGCAGCUGAUGAUGUUUUGUUAAGUAUCAGGACAGGGACGUGGUCUCGCCUUGGUGAUGGCUCCAUGGACUCUUGUUGGCCCUGAGUUCCCAUGUGGAGAAAUCCAGGCUAUGAAUGGCACCGGCAAAGGAGAAAGACCAGCAAAGAGAUACUGAAGAUCAACGAUACACAUUCCCAAGAUUUACAACUCGCAGCAGUUCAUGGACCGGAAACAGAUGUUUUGCCAGAAAUUCAUUGUCAAAGAGAAACGUUUAAUAUUGGCAGUCGGCAAAUAGACAAGAGGUCCAGUGCCCAACUCAAACUUUGGCUGGACAGGGUCCUAGCAAGGUAGGACAGAAGAAAUAAAAGAUAGCUAGGAAGAAGACAGGAAAUCACAACUAAAGCUUUACUUUUAAGACUACAACUGGGCUGGGGAUUUAGCUCAGUGGUUUCGCUGCCUGCUGUGCAAGAGCAAGGACCCAAGUUUGAUCCCCGGAACCAAAAAAAGAAUAAGACUACAACUUCCAGGACCCAGUGGAAGUGACCCAAGGUGACCCACAUCAGCUUCCCUUAGUUACAUUUAGGCUCCUUUCCUUCCAGACCCAUCCCACCUGAAAUUCCUCAGGAAUGCUGAACAGUCAUAAAUUGGCUUAGUUGAGGAAACAAAGAGCAGCAACCUGAUCCUAAGGUUAAAGAACAGAUGGAGAGAAUCCAAAAAAUGUUUAAAUUACCUAUCUAAAAGAAAAAGAAAGACUGAGGGAGAACCUAUAAAAUGGACCAGUGCCUUCCUGGGGGUGGCCACUUUUUCCGGGUUUCCCACCCCCUCAAAAGAAGCAUAGAUAUUCCCUAUUUCAAAAACUAACAUGCUUCACUCUCUUGAGGGCCAGUAUUCUAUUUC